rnacentral:lncRNA from 1 species
UUGCCAAUGCCUCCCAUACCUACAAUUGAUACAACUUCUAGUUCUCUUUCUCCUCUAGCAAGUUGAUCCAGCAUCAUCUUGAAUUCAUUUUCAUAGCCAACCAUUAUAACCUCGGACCGCUCAACAGCAAGUUCAGGUAUCUUGGAUAGACAGAAAUUUUGUGCUUUGAAAUCUUUAAUGUUGUUGUACCAGUCCCAUAUUGCCAACCACUGCAUCAUGAAGGAAUCAAUACAUUCUACCUCUUGUUCCAAGGAACAACAGAGUUCCCAGAAAGCUUUGCUUCGUGUAAUUACAGUUUCUGCAGAAGAAACUUUUCUUGAUUUCGAAUCAACCAUGUCUUCUGCUUUGAAUGCUACCUCCGUGAUUUCAACUUCCAAGGUUGUUAACCCCUCAUGAUCGCCCGUUAUAUUGCAGGAUUUCUCUAGAAUAGCUCUCAAAGAUUCGAGCUUUUCAUAAAACGGUUGCAAAUCACAUCCAUUAAGUUCCAUUGAUUGGUGUAUGGUUCUCAUAAGGGAAGUAACAGCAGCAUAAGCCAUAUAUCCAAAAAAUAGGAAUCUCUCACUCUCAGUAUGAAAAUGGACAAAUUAAUUGCCACAAGUUAUGUAAUCUUUCUUUUACUAACUAUUUCCAUCACAUUUCUAGCUAGGUCCACUAACAGGAUAAAGUAGAAAGAUGUGAGGUCACUAACCUUAUCAUCAUGAAGACAAAAGAAGAGACCAAAGUUAAAAAAAAAAAAAGACGAAAAAGUAGAAAAAAUUGUGAUCAUUCAUUAUUAGACCCUACACUAAUCUCUUCAGAAAAAUAAAAUAAAAUUUUAGUUUAAAUAAAGGAAUUCAAGCUGUAUAUUGAUAACGUCCAAUUCAAAUUCAAGUGUAGUACGGUCUAGCAAUAAUAAACUCAACAAAAGUUGGAGUCGAGGAGUACGCUUGUGUCAAGGUGACAGAGAGUGUGCGAAUUUGCUAACAAACAAAAGGUCUUUCUUUUAGCUAGGUCCAUAAUCCAUGUAGUGCUCUAUACUCUCUAGUCUCUAUCAACCAGCUCAAGUUUAAGGGUGUGUUUGGUAUGGAGGAAACAUUUUCUCUAGAAUAGGGAGAGAUUUGUGCAUAAACAAGGAAGAAUCUCUCAGUAUAACAGUGAAUGGGUAUUUUUUUAAGAUUUGCUUCUUUUGUGUAUGACUUUUGUAAGAAACAUUCUGGUAAAAGUUAAAAAAAAUGAUCUUGUGGAAUAGCCACAGUGAAUUCCUUAAUAUUCGAGUAGAAAAAGCCAGAGAGGAUAACAUUGCUAUUUGUACACUUAUCGUGACACGAGUAGUCUCUUAAAUAUUACACCUUUCUACUGAUGUUGCUGAUGCCACUGGAUUUAGCCUUCCGUCUUCCUUUGCAAGGUAGAUCGAGGACUCCCAAGAAAGGAAACACAAGUUACUGGAGUCUGUUCUGGCCUAUACAGUAUGUAUGUACAUAAAAUUUGGAGUAUCUAAAAACCACUGACAAAUGGCUAUACGAAAGAUCAUAUACAAUUAAAUUACAAGCCAUUUGCAAUCAUCCUGCCCCUUUAUGCAGAAUCUUUUCAAAGAAAAUGAAAACGAACAAAACAAACACUCACACAUUUGGCUUCUGAUUUGACAUUUAUUUCAGAGAACUGGCUAGUCGCUGCAGGAAAAAAAAAGACGCAAAAAAUGGAAAAUAAUAUGUUAGAUGUCCCAUAAUUAAGGAACAAGAGAACAUUAUAGCAAGAAUGAGCAUGCAGGUAUAAGAACUUACACAUUAUUGCGGCAAGAAGCAACUUCUUUCUCAAAGUCAUCAUCAUCAUCUUCAUCUGUUGUUACACUAUCGAAAAUGCUAGCUACAAAAGAUGAAAAAUGAAAUGUUACACUUCCCAAAAUCAAGAAUGAGCAUGCAAGUAUAACAAGUUACACAAUAUUGGAAGGAUUCGAAUCAAUCACAAUGACAGCAUCAAGAACUUUUGUUGAAUUGGUGUAAUUUGACUUACUAAAGCUAUUAUCCAGAUUAUUAUCGAGUUUACUAUAAUGAUGAGUUAAAUAUUGUUGUAAAUCAAGGAAGAAGAUGUCUUACUAAAGAUUACGAGUAUGGACCUCGAUAGAGCUUCCAUAGUUGUCUUGAAUGUCCUGUUGAAUUUGCUUGGCGGAAUUCCCAACAGAUUGUUGACAGUAAUGUAUAUCAAUAAGAGCUAGUGUGGUUAUAUCUGCAAAAUCUCGAGGGAUUGAAUCCAAAUACUCGCAAUUUCUAAGAAAAAGUCGUUCAAGGUACGGAAAGUGAUCACUACUAGCUCUCCAGUACCGAAUGUAUAUUUGAUCCAGAAACAAGAACUUCAAGUGAGGAAACCCUUCCUCAACUACUUCCCACUCCUCGCCUAUGACGGCAUUGUGUGAUAGUUUAAGGACCUCGAGUUUGGGUAAUUUACCAACAAUGCUCAAAUCCUUCCAUGCCAAAAGGAAAUCUCCUCUAAAAGUUAAACUCUGGAAAAGAUUAAUUAACAAAAAUUUAUGGUACUAAUUGGGGUAUUAAUUAACAUAUCCUUACUUGAUCACAUAUGUAUUGUUCUGUGUGAAAUUUUCCUCUGACUGAUAGUUGACUAAAUUAUAUUGCAUACGUUCGUGUACAUUUUCUCACUUGGAAGAGUGGAUUUGGACGUAAUUAACUAUCACCAUCGUUUAGGUAGAAAAAAGAAAAUAACUAAUAGUUGAAUGUUUUAAUACAUAGAUGAUCAACUAAUAUGAGAAGAAAAGAGUAGCGUAAAUGUGAGAUUCACUUCUCACCAAGAAUCCUCCUUUCUUAUUAUUUUCCUUUUAGAGGUUAAUAAUUAUUAAGUAUCCCUAGAAUAAUUUAUUGAAAAAGUAGAUUUGAAAGAAAGCAAUUACUCUCUUCUUCCUAUGCGGGACUUCUUGAACAUAACUAAUUUGACAAAAACCACAAUUUUAUUUAUUUUUAGGUGGAAUUAUAUCAAUAAGGAACUAUAUAUGCUUAUGAUAUUAAUCUAAGACCAUUAUUUGUUACUUGAACACAUGGAUUCAUCAUCUGAACAAUUGAAACAAUUAAUACUUGUGUGAACCUUUUUUUAUUUCGAGUGAUGUGUCAUAAUCAUUAGCCAACUAAGACUAGCGUUAAAUUUUUGGUAAGUCUCAAGAAGUGUAAUUAAUACUUAAUAAAAUAAUCUCAUCCUUGAGAUUCAAGAACUUGUUUGGAUUGAAUAGGUUUUUAUCAUCAAGAUCUAGAACAAAGUCUUAAUAUUAGUAAGAGGUAUUUUUGUGUGAAAAGUUUUCUUUGAGGUUCGAGAAAUGGAAUAGAUAUGGACUACAAGUUGAUAUUUCCCAUUGGAAAAUUCACACAAAAAGGAACAAGGAAUUCUCAAUGAAAAAAGCGCUCUCCAAAUCUGUUUAGUAUUUGUCAUGAGGUUCUUAUCAUAAUUGGAUUUUCCUUUUAGGAAAAGGUAAACACAGUCUCCAUAUUUGUCUAGUUCUUUUUCUUGUAGGAAAAAAAUUAUGACUCUAUAAAUAGAUGUUUUGUAACAUCCGACAAUUUGAAAUAGCUAAGAAGAGGCUUGAAAUUUGGAAAUUUUCAAUUUUUGGAAAGGAUUUGAAAAUCUGGAAAAUUUGGCUAAGUAUGGGAAAGGUGAGUUUUUUUGGGCCCAAACUUUGAACAACCAUAAAUUCUAGCUCAGGAUGAGUUAGGUGGAGUUCCGGUUAUGUUUGCAUAGCCCUCGGAACGACCUUUCCAACGCCACUGAGUUUGCUCAAUUCUGAGUUCGUAUGAGCGAGUUAUGGCCAUUGAAAGUUGGGCAGUUGGCAGGGAAUCCGUCCGGAAAAUUAAGGGCAUUUUAGUCUUUUCCCUAGCCAAUUCUUUUGGGAUUAUAUUGUUGUAUAGGGCUGAUCUUUAGAUCAUUUUGUCCCAUUUUAAGAAAUUAAAAUCUAGGGCUUGAGAGUGAAGAAGAGAAGAAGGAGAAGAAGAAGAGAAAAAUCGAGGAGAUCAACAAGUUUCCGACAAGAUCAUCGUGAAUGUUCGUCGGGGGUGAUCCCUAUCAAGGUAUGUGAGCUUUUAGUGUUGGGUGAUACUUUCCCCCACACACCUAGCCCCUUUUAUUUAUUAAGGAAGGAUUGGUUAUGUUGUUAAAGUUGUUAGUUGUUGUGGUUGAAGUUGUUGGAGUUGUUAAAGUUGUUAGUUGUUGUUGUUGGAAUUAUUGUUGGUGGUGGGACAUAAUUGAGUUGUGUUUUUAUGUUGAAAUCUAUUGAAUGUUGAGGGAUUUUAUGUUUCUAAGUGAUUGGGGGCUGGAAUCUUUGAGGUUAGAGGGUUUAGAGUUGGUAACGUGAAGGAGAAAGUCGGGUAGCUUGCGAGGAGCAUGUCUGCGUCGCGGACUUGUUCCUCUGUGAACAAAAAAUCUUCUCCGCGUCGCGGACAGGACGCAGACUCCACUGUUUUCAGAAUUUAUGUUCGAAGAUUUUCUUAGGUUUGGCUGUCCCAAAUCAUUCGCAAAUCAUUCCUAAACAUCAUGAGACCCUUCCAAACACCAAUCAAGUCCUUGAAUCCAUAAUCCAAUUCAAGGUGAGUUAUGAUCAAGUCAAGUGAAGUUAGUUUUCAAGUCAAGUGAAGUUAGAAGUCAAGUGAAGUUAGAGCCAAGCUUAGAAGUUAAGCAAGUCAAAGCAAGUCUUUAAAGCUUUUCAAGAGUCUUCAUUGAACGUUUUGACUUCAUUCUAAGGCUCAAGUUCCAAGUUAAGUAUAGAGUUUCAAGUCAAGCAAAGAGUCUCAAGUUUCAAGUUAAGUAAAGAGUAUCGAGUUUCAAUUUAAGUCAUAAUUUUUCAGUCAAGAGUCAAGAGUUGAGUUCAAUUCUCAAAAGUAAUUAGGGAACUAAGUAUUUCCCAAAGAAGUUUUAUAAGUGUUUUCACAUUUAAGUUGAGAGGAAACGGAGAUUUCCAAAAGAGUUUUGAGAAGUUUGAGCACUAUCUCUUUUAAAAGAAAAGAUGAGUUUUUGAAAAAGAGUUUCUAAAUUAUGAUUAGUAUGACAAAUGGAGUAUGUCAUCAAUGUUUAAACAGUAUGGUCUCUAGAUAUACCAUCAAUGUUUAAGCAGUAUGAAUAUCCCGAGUCAUCAAUGAUCAUAAAAAAAAAAAAUGUGGUUUUGACUUGUUCUAUUUAGAAAGAGUUUUCAAGUGCCUUCGGGCUAAGUUUUGAGUAAUUAUCUCAACUAAAGAAAGAUGUGCUUAAAACACUUAUGAGCUAAAGUAUUUUGGGAGUAGUAUCGAGCACCGAAUUGGGGAAACGAGUUCAUAUUAAACUCAACUCUCCAUAAGAACCAUGUAGCCAAACAUGGGAUUUCUCGGAUCAUACUUUUUAGAUGAUCACGAAAGUUAAGCUAGUGGAUCCAUUAAGCAAAAGUUAAAGUAAGGUCCUAUAUCGAUGGCAAGGUAUAGGAUGGUCCUUGGGCAACGUGAGGUAAAACGUUGUAUCACCACUCAGAUUCAUAGUGGUGGUUUGUCGGUUAGAGAAGCUCCCACAGUAGAAAGAGCAUGGUUCCUCGAGGGUUCUGCUUAGUAUGGAUGGGGGUAUGGGACUUCAUUCAUGCAUUGCACAAGUAGACUUUGAGAGGAAGCAUGGUAUUUUUAUGAUAUUAUAAAUAUGAUUUUUACGUCAUGUUUUAAUAGUUUCAAAAGCUUUAUAUAUAUUGCAUGUGUCUCAUUGCUUUAUAUUAAGUUCAGUUAUUCUUGAGUUGUACAGAGCCAAGGUAAGUUCUCUUUUGUAUCCCUUUUCAAGCUUAAGUUGUUGUUUAGCGGUCCAGCUCGCAUACUCGUACAUUCCAUGUACUGAUGCCAGUUGGCCUGCAUCUUAUGACGAUGCAGACACNNNNNNNNNNNNNNNNNNNNNNNNNNNNNNNNNNNNNNNNNNNNNNNNNNNNNNNNNNNNNNNNNNNNNNNNNNNNNNNNNNNNNNNNNNNNNNNNNNNNNNNNNNCAGUCAGUUAGUUUUGAGUCUCUCAUCUAUGUAUAUAUGUAAAUAUUCUAUUUUGAGACUCGAGUGGCCUUUUUGGCCAGAUGUGUAUCAUUUAAGUUGUUUAUGUCUUUGCAUGGCAUUGAGUUAUUCUGUUGAGUAGGUUUCCGCUGAGUUAAGAAAGCCAGGCCAAGGGUUCGCUUGGGGCCAGCAAUGGUCUCUGAGUGCCGGUCCCGCCCAGGGUGUAGGCUCGGGGCGUGACAUGUUUAUUCAUUCUAGCUUGGUAGCAUUCAUAAUGCAAUCCUAGGGGGCUUUGAGAGUUUUGUGUAUUGUGUGAAGCUAGAGGAAGAAUGUAUGAGACACAAGUAUUACUUUAACACUUGUGUGAACCUCUUUGUAUUCAGAGUGAAUUGUGUGAGGUUAUUCUUCUCUAGAUUUUAUAGUGAUUUUUUCAUCUCCUCUUGUGGAUGUAGAUCGGUUGACCGAACCACGAUAAAUGUUUGUGUCUUUUGAUAUAUUUCUUGUUUGUCUUAUUACUCAUCGUCUUUCAAGGUUUGCUUUGCUAGCUUUUGCAUGACACCUAAUUAUUUCAGUCCCAACAAGUGACAUCAGAGUCAGGUUCAAUGGUUUAAUGAUUCAAUGGUCGAACCAUGUUAAAAAUAAGUGUUCAUCUUGACGGGUUUAGUUCUAGCCGUAACAUAUUUGACAGUAAUGAAGAUUUUUGUUGGAGAAAUAUUUUCAAAGAUGUUUUCUGUGUUGAUAUAUAUAUAUAUAUAUAUAUAUAUAGAUUUUGCAGAGGAGAUGCAAGGUAUUGAAGAUUAUGUGAAGAAGGUGGAUCAAAUUUAUUUUGUCAGAAAUUUAGGCCAAUGGAGAUAUUUGUUUAGUAUUUGUCAUGAAUUUCUUAUCAUAAUUGGGUUUUUUCUUUUAGAAAAAGGAAACCACAAAGUUUCCAUAUUUGGCUAGUUCUUUUUCUUGUAGGAAAAUGUUUGACUCUAAAAUUAUAUGUGUAUUCCUUCUAGCCUAAUAGCAUUUACAAUGUAGUCCUAAGGGGCAUAGAGAGUUUUGUGUAUUGCGUGUAGCUAGGGGGAGAAUGUGUGAGACACAAGUGUUACUUUAACACUUGUGUAAACCUCUUUGUUUUUCCAUUGAAUUGUGUAAGGUUAUUCCUCUCAAUAUUUUGUACUUUCUUUUAUAUAGUGAAUUGCUCAUAUCCUCUUUUGGAUGUAGGUCGGUUGUCCGAACUACGUUGAAUAUUUAUGUCUUUUGGUAUAUUUUUCGUUUGUAUUAUUACUCAUGGUCUUUCAAAAUUUGCUUUGCUAGCUUUUGCCUGAUACCUAAUAAUUUCAGUCCCAACAAAACCAAACGUGAAAGUUGUUUUCCAGCAGACAACUUUUCUAGUAGCUCUACUCUCGACUUGGAUAAUUUAACCAAAAAGGUACGCUUUCGGCCAUUCUACAUGCUGCCUAUGUAGAGACAUGUUUAUCUAAAGUGGAUUCUCUUUUUUGUAGUAGGUAUCAAACCUGUUAUGCCCAUUGACUAAGAAGCUAGGGGUGGACACAACAACUACAUGGACCUCUUUCUUACAUCGGCCAUCACUAUUAAUCGUCUUUGUUAUCACAAUGACCACCACUAUUACCGUCAUCAAACAUCUCUGUCCUCACAAUUACCAUUAUUAUCAACCACUACUAUAUAUCAAACAUUUGCUAUAUUUAUGUUUUUUAUUGACAUAAACAAUGGGUUAACAUGAUAUAAUUUAUUAGUAGUUUUAUAUAUUUUUCUUAUAAUAAAGGAAACAAUCACUUAUACAUUCUUUGAGAUCAUUUAGUUUAAAAUCAGGAGUGGAAUCAUAACUAGGGUUAUAGCUUAGCAUCAAUUCACCUUCUUAAUUAAUGGGAUAAUUUAAUUAGCUAAAUUUGAAUGAAAAGAAGAAGAAAUUGAUUAAUUUAAUUCGUUUACGUUCCAAUGGGGUGUGCAAUAUCCAUAAAUUUGUCAUGUCGUUAUUAGGUGUUCAUGAGAUGCACAUAUUCCAAGCAAAAGUACCUAUUUGAUCACUAGAUGAGUUUAAGUAUUCAAUUUACAAAUUCUGCCAAAUUUGAGGGACUAUCUAGGUAUUAUUUAGAUAAAAUUAUUUGUAUAGUCCACUCUAAACAUACUUAUAAUUAAGCAAGUAACAUAUACUAUAUAAAGAAGCUUCUAGAGAUAAUUAAAGUUAACUCUAUAUAAUUAGAGUUGCAAUAACAAAUACGUCAAAACAUUAAAGUGUUUCACCAAUAAAGUCAUUUUUUUAAUGUCCAAAACUAAUCCAAUGGAAGCUCUAUUAUGUGGAACACCAGAAGAAGUUUCAGUAUUGUUGGUACAUCAUGAAGUAGAAUUUCUUACUAAUCAGACUGUUAAAUUGUUAGAGGCUUAUAAAUACAAAGGUGACAUUCUAGAAUUUUUUUAACUUUUUUGUUUCUUUGAUAUAAUAACUAAAUGCCGUGUGACAUUUUUUUUUAUAUAUAGAGAGAGAUUGAAAUGAUAUGCUUUUUGUUAUCUCAUUUAUGAUUUUAGCAUCGUCCAUUUUUAAAUUUCAUUUAUCUUGUAAAUCUUGAACUUUUCUUUUUCCUUGUUAUCAUAGCACUUUUUAAUUUUUACAAAUUUAUCUAUCCUCGAAGAAAAAUAAUUCUACAUUAGUGAUGGAUGCACAAGAAAUUAGGAUGACGGGAGGGAAGAGAAAGAGCACGAAAAAGACAUGAUAAGAGAUGAUCUGUCUAUCAUUAUUACUUGAGAUAAUAUUUUUUUGUCUUUUAUUGGAUGUAUAAAAAAAAAUGAGGAGAUCUAAUUUUCAUUAAAAAAACAUUUCCCUUUCUAUUUUUUGUUUUUGUUUUUCGUUGGACGUAGACAAAAAAUUGGCAACUCCUUUCUUAUACUUUGUUAGAUCAUCUAAUUACAUAUCUAUGAAAUAAAAUUACCUCAAAACAUUUUAUCCUAUUAUCUUUUGCUUUAAUAUUUAUUUGUUUUUGACAAGCCAUAAAUAAAUUGGAAUAGUUUUUAGAAAUAUAUUCUUUAGGAUCUUCUCUAGUUUUUAGUAAUCCAAUUAACGAAAAAAAAAAACUAAUAUAUACUUUUUAUGUAACCAAUCUAGUUAAGAUUGCACUCAUCAUUUAUAAUAUAAGUUGAUUAAUAUGUGUUAUUUUAAAAAUUAAAGUGCAGAAAUAUAACAUGAAAAUUCACAGUUGAAUUUGAAUAACAAACAAACAUAUCCAAAUGAUACCUUUGUGUACAAUAUUUUUUUUUUCAUAAUUUUCACUGAUUUCAAAUUGCACGGGUAUAUGUAGUUACGGAAGUUAUGGCUCCUGCGGCAAUGUCAAUGCUUUUCAAAGAAAAGAAAAAAAUUGAUGCAAUGAUAAUCAAGGUCAUUUCACCGGAUUCACAUUGCUUUGAGCUCCUGGCACAAGCUGUAACCUUGAACAUCAUCGUAGUAAGUAAGUAUUUAUAAUUCUAUCUUCCACUUAUUAUUAUAGACGGUAAAGUAAGUUUUUUUAAUUAACUAUUGCAUAAUGUAUAUAAUAUUAUUCAAUUUUAAUUGCUAUCUUCUUGAUAUAAUUAUGCAGUUGUCUAUGAUGAACUCAAUGAAUUCUUAGUGAAGAAAGCUUUGGACAAUGGAGCUUACAUUUGCUCGAAGAAGCCUCUUGUCGAGCAAACUAUGACAUUCUUGUGGCAAUUUGUAUGGAGGGAGAAAACACAAAGAGGGAAAUCAAUAAAAAGAGUAGAAACAAAGGGAGAUCAUAUUUUUGUUUGAAGUUAUUGGAGUUCUGAGAAAACAAUAGGUCGUGGUUUUUUCCUCCCUUGAGCAAAGAGGUUUCCACGUUAACAUAUGUGUUCUUACUUUAAGCAUUUAGAUUACUUCUUGUUAUCAGUAUAGUCAAGUGGUCAGAACACGAGAAGACAUGUCACUAAACAACAACAUAUAUAGGAAAAAACAAACUCUGCUAAGUGAUCGAUCCGUGUGUGAUAGUUGCCUUCUUAACCUUGAACUAUUGCUUCCUGCUAGAUUAUAUGAACUUAGAUAUGUAUACAAAUUAGUAUUCAAUGAGUUCCCAAACAUUCGUGCAUAAACAAUUUCCCCUGUUGUCGUGCCACCAGGACUUAGCAUAUGUUCUGUAUUUGUAUAAUUUCGAUGAUGAUCAUGAGAUUGCUGGGAUAAUGGAGGCAUAUUAUUAUUGUGUAUUAGACCGUGACUCCUACAUCUCGAACUAGGAGGUCUUUGUGGUAUGACUAUACCAAAAUUCUAUACCAAAAUUCGGGGCCUUAAUUUCAGAUGUUUUUGUAGCUUGACAGCGACCAUAGAGUGGAAUCAAUGUUUUUUGUGAGACUUCAGCUUUGCAAACAGGGCAAUUUGGUUGUUGGUUAUCGAUGUUCUCUGAUGAAAUGGUCUUAAAAUGUAUCCAUUUGUAGAUGCAAGGCCAACAAUAGGAGGUGACCACAUAAUGUAACAACAGGAUCAUGUACAACAUCUAGGCAAAUGUUGCACUCGAAACCUCCAGGUGAAUUUUCUUCAAGUUUAUCAAGAUCAAUUGUCUCCAUUUUUCAAAGGAAAUAUCGCGUUGAUCAAAGGUAGUUUCUGCUAUUUGGUCUUGAAAAAUUUGUUCUAAGGCCAUAUUUGCCUCUUGGUAUUGAAUUAUUUUGGUAAUGGCAAGAUGAAGAAUGGUUAGAAUUCAGGUUUUUAAUACAAUUAGAAGUGAGUAUUUAUAAGGACAAAGAAUAGUAGUUUGCAAACAAUGAUUCUUAAGGUUGUCACUUGUCAACAUCACAUUAUGUUAAAGGGGCAUGGCCAAAAAGAAAAGGCCCUACACAUUAUUAAACAACACUAUAUCAUAUUACUCAACAGUCUUGAUUUAUGGGGUAUUGUUUGAUUUGAUAUAACAUUUAAUAAGAAAAUGAAGACUUUUAAAAUAUGUACUGUAUUAAAGAUAAAAAAUAAAUUUUAAGUUUUUCGAUCCUAGAAAUGAUAUUCUUUUUAUAUUAAGACUAAAACAAAUGUUUUACAUAAAUUAAGAUAGAUGAACUAUCAAACACAUCAUAAUUAAGUGAUUUAAUGAAGUCAAAAAUAAAUAUUAAUGGAUCAUGGUUAAGUGAGAGGAGUUUUGUGCAAACACGUCUUUUAUCUAUCUAUUUGAUUUAAACAAGCAUAAGUUUUAUCAUAUUAGAAAUAUGAUUAGGACCUUAUAUUAGGCCCCAUGAUAGGAAUCUUAAUCUAGAAAAUAACUUUUAGUCAAUAAAAAGUAGCACUAGUUGCGUACAAGGAGCUACCACUUGAUGACCUUCCACACUUCCACAUCCCAUAAGUUCAAUAGUUUUCACACUAUAAGAACUAGAUGUUUUUUUCCGCGUGAAUCAAUAAAAUUUUUAGUUUUAUGUUAUAAAACAUGAUUUUUUUCAUUUUGAUUUUAUUAAACUAAUUCACUAAGAAAAUUCAUAACGAAACAUAAGUUCUCAUUGAAAUACUGGAAAUAGUCACUUGGAAAUUUAUGAGUUUUAGGAAAUUAUGCAUCAAAACUUAGAAAGACGCGGCUCAUAUAGAAAUUUGUUGUUAAAUCAUAAUAUAUACUUUUACAUCUGAAUAUCUUUAUUGAUUUGGUUAAAAUUAUAAUUAAAAAAAUUACAAUACAAUAUAUAUAGAUUCACAUAAAUUUAAUACUGUAAGUUCAAUUAUUAUUCAAUUAUUAUUAUGAUAUAUUAAUCUAAAAUUAUUAUAGAAGCUUCUAAACUCUAAAUUCAGAUCCAACUAAGGAGUGAAUAUACAUAGUGGGGGUCUGGGGGAUGGGAGAAAACAUAUGGACGGUGUGACAAAUAAAUAAAAGAAAUACUCCGUCCAUUCCAUUUGACUUAGUAUUGUUUGACUUAAUACGAUGUAUAAGAGAAAAAAAAGAUUUUAGAAAAUUAUAGGCUAAAACAAUUUUUAUAUAUUUAUAUAAUUGUAAAUCAUUUCAUUAAUUAAGGGUAGAUGGAGAAUUUUAAGUUUAAUUAUUUUCAAUUACAAUAAAAUGACAUUUUUAAAGACGGAUUAUGAGAAUAGAGUGCCACGUAAAAUAAAACGAGAAAAUACUACUCCCUCCUUCCCAUUUUAUAUGUUACCUUUUUACUUUACAUUUACAUUAAGAAAUAAUGUAACUUUACCCUUCUACCCUUAUUUAAUGUUUUCUUAAGUUAACUUUAUAACUCCCUCCGUCCCAUUUUAUAUGUCAUCUCUUUCUAUAAAUAGUUGGACCACAAUACUUGUCAUUUUAUAAAAUUUAUGUAUAAAUUACCAUAUUUUACCUAUUAUAUCCUUGAUAGAGUAGUUAAUUAAUCUUGAAAAUAUAUUCAUCAUUUAUUAUAAAUUGACUUAAGAAAAUAUUAAAUAAGAAUAGAAAGAUAAAAUUACAUCAUUUCUUAAUAAAAGUAUAAAGUAAAAAUGUGACGUAUAAAAUAGAACGGAGGGAGUACUACAAAAGAACGAGUCCGCACAUGCAUUAUACAAGUACUACAUGUGUCUCGAAUUUAGCAGCCUUUUGUCAACUUUUUAUAUUUUGGCUUACUUGGAAGCAAGUCUAUCCUCUCCUAUACAAUCAAUUAGGGUGGCCAUUAAUCAUAUAUUAUUAGGCUAAAGAUAACAUAUUGCUCCCUCCGUUUUUAAUUAUUUAUCCAUUUUUUUAGUUAUUCCUAAUUACUUGUCUAUUUUUACAAAUCAAGAAAGAACAAUUUUUUUUACCUAUUAUACCGUCAAUUUAUUACUUUGAAAAAAGUAGAACUUUUUGAAAAUCUUGAGUUUUUAAUUCAUCCACUUCAUAAUUAAUAUGGAUAAAAUGGUAAACUCACUAUUUCAAUAAUUGUUUUCUUAAUAGGUGUGCCAAUUCAAAAAUGGACAAGUAAUUAGGGAUAGAGAAAGUAUAUCGAAAUAAUAUAAUAAGAUAUUAUGCUAAAGAUAAUUAACAAAACUUUGAACAAUUAUAAAUAAGAUAGCAAAAAAAUCCAUAGUAAAUUAACAUGGUUCAACGAUUAGUGAUGGAAUCUGAAUAUGAUUCAGGAUUUUCACUAUUAAUGAAAUUCAAAAGGAAUAAUACAUAAAUGUGCCCUUUAACUUGACUUCAUUUUAUGUUUAUGUCCUUCAACUUUGGGUAUACACAAAUAUGCACCUAAACUUGUAUAAAGUUGAACAACUAGACACAUGAGUCCUACAUGACACAAUACACAUAAGAUACCACGUAGGAUAAAAAAUGCCAUGUAGGACAUGUGUGUCUAUUUUUUCAACUUUAUACAAAUUUAAAUAUCUACUUGUGCACACCCAAAGUUGAAGGGCAUAAAUGUGAUUUGAAGCCAAGUUAAAGGGUAUAUUUAUGUAUUAUGCCUAUUCAAAAUAUGAAUAAAUAAACAUAUAAAUUAGCUGACUACAAUAAUAGACAGAUAAAAAAUAAUUUUAACUAUAUGUAUAAAUAAUAUAAUUUUUCAUCGAAAGAGGUUCAUCUGAUUCCUCACUACUUUCUCUCAUUCAAAACUAAGCAAUAUGAGACUUUCAUGUCACAUGGAACCCUUUUUUUUUUUUUUGGAAAUCUCAGUAGUUCAGUUAAUUGACUGACUAUCUGAAUUCUCGAUUUCCCAUGUUGUAAUCCUCUACCCCAAUUUUUUUAUUACCUUCCUCACAUAUGUAUAAGACCGAAUCCAAAUAUCUAAGAUGAGAGAAUUUUGGGAGAGCCACCGACUCCAACUACUGCCAUAUAUUAUCCAUAUUAGAUUUGACCAACUAUCCAUCCUACCCUCCUCUACGUUCUUGACAACCCAUUUUUGUCUUAGUCAAGUCUUUUAGUGGCACGUUUUGAUCCUCUUUUCAAUUACUUAGAAAAAGUGAGUUAUUAUUCAGAUACAAAAUACUAUCAUUAUCGCCUAAAAAAUUAGACAUUCAACCCGUAAUCACAAUGAUCCAAUUACAAAAGCUCCGAACCCCCUAGGUCUAGACUGGCUCUGGCCCUAGUUUUAUCUCUUGACCUUCACAUGAGUAAACUCGUUGAUAUAGAGGAUUACAGUAUUGAUUUCUUUAAAAGAAAAAAACCUUAAUUUAAGGUAUGGAGGCCUAGAAAGGAAACACACGUUAUAUAUGGAGCCUGUUCUGGCCUAUACAGUAUAUAUGUACAUAAAAUUUGGAGUAUCUAAAGAACCACUGACAAAUGGCUACGAAAGAUCAUAUACAAUUAAAUUACAAGCCAUUUGCAAUCAUCCUGCCACCUUAAGCAGAAAAAAUGAAAACGAAUAAAACAAACACUCACACAUUUGGCUUCUGAUUUGACAUUUAUUUCAGAGAACUGGCUAGUCCUCAGAACACCUUAACUACUCGCUGCAGAAAAAGAAAAAAAAGACGCAAAAAAUGGAAAAUAAUAUGUUAGAUGUCCCAUAAUUAAGGAACAAGAGAACAUUAUAGCAAGAAUGAGCAUGCAGGUACGUAUAAGAACUUACACAUUAUUGCGGCAAGAAGCAACUUCUUUCUCAAAGUCAUCAUCAUCAUCAUCAUCUUCAUCUGUUGUCACACUAUCGAAAAUGCUUGCAACAAAAGAUGAAAAAUGAAAUGUUACACUUCCCAAAAUCAAGAAUGAACAUGCAAGUAUAACAAGUUACAAAAUAUUGGAAGGAUUCGAAUCAAUCACAAUGACAGCAUCAAGAACUUUUGUUGAAUUGAUGCAAUUUGACUUACUAAAGCUAUUAUCCAGAUUAUUAUCGAGUUUACUAUGAUGAUGAGUUAAAUAUUGUUGUAAAUCAAGGAAGAAGAUGUCUUACAAAAGAUUCACGAGUAUGGACCUCGAUAGAGCUUCCAUAGUUGUCUUGAAUGUCCUGUUGAAUUUGCUUGGCGGAAUUCCCAACAGAUUGUUUACAGUCACUUAUAUCAAUAAGAGCUAGUGUGGUUAUAUCUGCAAAAUCUCGAGGGAUUGAAUCCAAAGAAUAGCAAUCUUUAAGAAAAAGUCGUUCAAGGUACGGAAAGUGAUCACUACUAGCUCUCCAGUACCGAAUGUAUACUCUAUCCAGAAACAAGAACUUUAAGUGAGGAAACCCUUCCUCAACUACUUCCCACUCCUCGCCUAUGAAGGCAUUGUCUGAUAGUUUAAGGACCUCGAGUUUGGAUAAUUUACCAACAAUGCUCAAAUCCUUCCAUGCCAAAGAAAAUUUUCCCCUAAAAGUUAAACUCUUAAGGUUUUGUGGAAAAGCAUCCGGAGGAGGUAAGAGUAAAGUUGGAACAUCAGUUGGAGGUGCAGUUCCCCCGAAACGAGUCUGAAACCUCAGAGGAUCUUGCGGAGUAGAACCUGAAGGUGCAGUGUUUUUUAGAAAGCAAGCAAUAGGUGAAUAAUAAAUACCAAAUGUCAAUUUCUCGAGCUGAUAUAAGUAGCGAAAAUCAUACAGGUCCUUGUGAUUGCGAAAGUCCUCUGGGACGCCAAAUACUUUCAACUUCUUUAAAUUGGGAAAUAGUCUAAAAAAAGACCCUGUACAAUACCGAGGAUUCAAUUGAUUGAGGCAUUGCAAACUUUUCAAAACCAAUCUGUUCUCUGUAGGCUCAUGACUCUGCAAGUAAUUCCAGCCCAUAUGCAGCUUCCUCAAUUGUGGCAUCGUCAAAAUUUCCGAUGGUAAUAUGAAAGGAUAACUACUAUUGGGAAAUGGAAGGUAAAGUUUAAAAGUUUGCAGAUAGCAUAGGCUUGAUAUCGAUAGAGGAAUGUCUAUUAUUGAUGAGGGAACAGCUUCUUUCGAUCCUCGAUACUGCUUUAAGCAAGGCUUAAAACACAAAGAUAGGUAUCUCAAAUGAAAUAGAGAAAGUACUCCACUGGGAAAAAAUGGGCAUAUAGUCAAACCAAGAUCUAGUACUCUUACUAGCUUGAAAGACAAUGCCAGUGUGACGCAUUUGAAUCCACCCAACAUGAUAAUAGAAUGAGCCUCACUGCUACAACACCAAACCAAUUUUUUCUCAUUAUGGAUUCUGAUCCGAUUUCGACUCUUAAAGGAACACUGCAUGGAUUGUUCACAUGAAUUUUGAUAACUCUUUCCUCUGAUAACAUUCACAAAAUUCAUGUUUCGAGCUUCCCUCAAACAGAGUUCACGGGUCACAUCAUGCAUUCCACAACUUUCUAUUGUUCCACGAAAACUAAAAUUGUGGAUGAAAAUUAAGCUUCUAUCUAUAAGUUCAUUUAUACAUGUUGUUGCCACCUCUUCUAUGCUUUUUCCCUCUUCUUCAUUCAAAAACCCCUCUACGGCCCAUAAUUCAACAAGUUUAUUUACAUAAAUCUGUUCAUCCUCUGCGAAAAUUGCAAAAUACAGAAAACACGGUUUUAGGUGAGAAGGCAAGUGAUGGUAACUCAAAGCCAACACUCUCAUGCACUUUGCUUCAAGAUCUGUGCUUACCACUGAACUUACAUUCUCCGCAACAUAUUGCCACACACCCAAUGUUUUACUGAUUUUGGAGAGAAGUCCAGCAAUCACAGUAAUUGCUAGAGGUAACCCUCCACAUUUUAAUGCAAUUUGUUUCCCAAUAUUUUCAAAUUCAGGAGAAUAAGAACCUUCUUUUUCAAAGAUCUUUUUGUGUAGUAAAUUCCAACUUUCGUCAAAAUUCAUGAGGCGCAUGUGAUGAGGAGGCUUACCUGACCUAGCACAUUCAGCCACUUCCACAUUCCGAGUAGUCAGGAGUAUUCUGCUUCCAUUAUAACAGUCUGGGAAACAUAGUUUUAUAUCAUCCCAAGCUUCUGUAGUCCAUAUGUCAUCAAUGACUACCAAGUAUCUCCUGCCUUUCAGAUGCUUCUGCAAUCGGUCCGCUAGCUGAUCAUCAGGUUCAUCACUUAUCGAAGGAAGAAGGCCUAGGAUUACAUUUCUCACACAAUACUCUUGUGAAACAGUUGCUUUUGCACGAAUAUCAAAUCGAGACAUAAUGUAAGGAUCACUAUAGAGUUUUGUAGCCAAAGUUGUUUUCCCGAUACCUCCCAUCCCUACGAUUGAGACAACUUCUAGUUCCCUUCCUCCUCUAGCAAGUUGAUCCAGCAUCAUCUCAAAUUCAUUUUCACGGCCAACCAUUAUAUUCUCGGGCUGCUCAACAGCAUGUUCAGGUAAACUGACAAGUGAGCUAGUUUGUGGUUUUAGAUCUUUCAUGCUGUCCGAUGCUGCCAUCCACUGUUUCACGGUGGAAGCAAUGCAUUCUAGUGCUUGUUCCAAGACGAAAAAAAUCUCCCACAUAGCCCUGCUUCUUUCCUCCAAAUUCUGUGCUAAAAAAACAUUUCUUGAUUCCGAGUCAACCAUAUCUUCUGUUGUGUAUGCUACCUCUGCGAUUUCAACUUCCAAGAUUGUUAACCCCUCAUGAUCGCCCAUUAUAUUGCAGGAUUUCUCCAGAAUAGCUCUCAAAGAUUUGAGCUUUUCAUAAAACGGUUGCAAAUCACAUCCAGUAAGUUCCAUUGAUUGAUGUAUGGUUCUCAUAAGGGAAGUAACAGCAGCAUAAGCCAUAUAUCCAAAAAAUAGAAAUAUCUCUCAGUAUGAAAAUGGACAAAUUGCCACAAGUUAUGUAAUUUUUCAGUUUUUAAGAAAACAGAAAAUGCAAAGUUCUUUCUUUUACUAGCUAUUUCCAUCACAUUUCCAGCUAGGUCCACCAACCUUAUCAUCAUGUAGACAAAAGCAGAGACCAAAGUUAAAAAAAAAAGAAAAAAGGCAGGACUCUAACAGGAAAAAGUAGAAAAAAUUGUGACCAUUCAUUAUUAGACCCUACACUUAUCUAUUCAUGAAUAUAGGUAUGUUUCUUACAUACAAGAGAUUGAUGAUUUUAAUUCCAUUGAAAGCAACUUCGUAGAAUUUUCCAAAUCAAAGAGAGAGAAAUAUUAAGAUCCAAGUAGGAAUUUCUCUAUUCCUAGUUCGAUUCAAUUAACCAAGCAUAAAUAUCUCUUUAAAUAUAUAUGAGAAGUUUAGACUCUAAAAGUCAAAUCAACAAAAUAUUUAUGGGCUAACACAUGAAAAACUAUUGAGAAAAUUGCCUAAUUUCUGUAAAUUGGCCCUUAAAUCUCCAAAAUGGACUCUAAAAAUUGUCAGACUGUACGUAUUGCUCCCAACUCCCUACUAAGGGUUCUGUAAUUUCGAUUAGAAUUCGCCCGUAAGUCAUAUCACCAAUAUAUUAAUGACUAACACACACGAAAAACUAAGAAAAUUGUCUAAUUUCUUGAAAUUGGCCCCUAAAUGCCUAAAAUGGACUCUAAAAAAUUGUCAGACUGUACGUAUUGCUCCCAACUACCUACUAAGGGUUCUGUAAUUUCGAUUAGAAUUCGCCCGUAAGUCAUAUCACCAAAAAUAUUAAUGGGCUAACACACACAAAACACUGAGAAAGUCGCCUAUUCCUGUAAAUUGGCCCCUAAAUGCCCAAAAUGAACUCUAAAAUUGUGAGACUAUGUACUGCUCCACUAACUCCCUAUGGAGGGUUCCGUAAAGAUUUCACAAAGAAAUUAUUCGGAAGAUAUAUCACCAAAAUAUUUAUGGGCUAAUACAUUUUUAUUUGUCCAUUUGAUUUGAUAUAUCUUUCAAGUACUUUGAUCCGGUUAUACUUUUUUUUUAUUGCUAAAAAUAAAUAUCCACUUUUACUUGUUCAUUCUACAAAACAAAGACAAUAUUUUAUUGCUUGAUUCAGAUAUAAAAUUUGAGUAGGCUAAUUUACAAACCAUCUGUAGUCAUCCUGCCCCUAUGCUAUAACAUUUGAAAGAAAGAGGUCAUCAUCAUCAUAUUCAUCAUCGUUGUCAUCUUCAUCUUCAUCUUCAUCAUCAUCUUCAUCUUCAUCAUCAUCUUCAUCAUCAUCUUCAUCUUCUUCAUCAUUAUCAUCAUCAUCAUCAUGAUCGUCAUCGUCACUUGUUUCCUCACUGUUGAAAAAGCCAGCAACAAAAGAUGAAAAAUGAAAUGUUAUGCAAGUAUAACAAGUUACACAAUUACUAUAUUGGAAGGAUUUAAAUCAUAUACAAUGACAACGUAUGAACUUUUACACUAUAGGUGCCAUUUAACUGCUUAUUAAAGCAACUUAUAAUUAUUUUAUUACUAGUUCUGGACACAUGCUUUGCAUGUGUAUAUUACACGUUUAGUCACGAUUGUAAGAGGGUGUACACCAGGAUCAUUCGAAGAGCAAAGUCGUGUGAGCCUUACAGAUAUUCUUGACGUACUCCUAUUAAAAUCUGUAUCAUAAUAUCUGAUGAAAUCAGCUACUGAUCAGUCAAGCUCUCCAUUGAUGUAGACUUCAACUACACAUGAGAAAGAAUGAGAGAAGAAGAGAGAAGAGAAGAGAAGAAGAAUCUAGAAGAGCAACAUGAAAAUUAAUCUCUCAUUGAAUGUGAAUUAAAACUACAAGAAUUACAAUGUGACUAUAUAUAUAUAAUCACUGGCAGAAAUUAACUAACUAACAAACUUGAUUCUAACUAACUCUACUGUACAUAGAUUCUAACUAACUCUACUGUACAUAACCGACUCUACUGUACAUAACUAACUAAUUAUACUUUAUAUUCUCAUCACCCCCCCUCAAGUUGGAGGUGAUGUAAUUACAGACAACUUGUGCAAUAAGGCAGUAUGUUUAACUCCAGUCAGAGCCUUGGUGAAGAUGUCUGCCAACUGUGAAUCAGUGGGAAUAUGAUGGAGUGUGAUUAGGCCUUGUUGAAGCUUGGUCCUAACAAAGUGACAAUCGAUUUCUAUGUGCUUUGUCCUCUCAUGAAAAACUGGAUUCUUUGCAAUGUGGACUGCUGCUUGACUGUCACAAUGGACAGGGAUAGGUAAGGAGCAUUGUACAGUCAACUCAUCCAACAAUCGUUCAAGCCACACUAGUUCUCCUACAACUUGUCUCACAGCUCUAUAUUCAGCUUCAGCAGAUGACAAAGACACUGUUGCUUGCUUCUUAGACUUCCAGCUGACAGGACUAUCACCCAGAAGCACUAGGUAUCCACUAACAGACUUCCUGGAAUCAGGGCAAGCAGCCCAAUCAGAAUCACAAUAAGCACUGAUAGUGAGAUCAGGCUUGUUUGAGAUAAAAAUUCCCAAUGUUGGAUCCUGUUUCAAAUAUCUGAGCACAUGGUAUGCUGCUUUUAAAUGUGGUUCCCUAGGUGAUUGCAUAAAUUGGCUCAAGUGUUGUAUACUAUAAGCUAUGUCCAUUCUAGUGUUGGUCAAAAAAUUUAGCUUACCAACCAACUUCCUGUAUUGAGUAGGAUCAGAUAAAAGAUUGCCAUCUGUAGCUGUUAACUUCUCAGUGCAAUCAAGUGGUGAUGUAGUGGCCUUGUGACUUAACACAUCAAAAUCUUUCAGGAGAUCAGAAGUGAAUUUCCUUUGUGAAACUAGCACUCCAUCAUGUCUGUAUAAUAUUUCCAGUCCCAGAAAGUAGUGUAGUUUGCCCAAAUCCUUUAUCUUGAACUGAUCAUUUAAGAAGCUCUUUAAGGAGUUGAUUUCAGCCACAUCUGUUCCAGUUAGAAUUAUGUCAUCCACAUAUACAGCAACAAACACCAAGGAGCAGCCCUUCCUUUUGUAGAACAGUGAGUAAUCACUGUCUGAGUGCUGAUACCCUCUUGAACAUAGACAGUUUGCCAACUUCUCAUACCAUUGCCUGCUGGCCUGUUUUAGUCCAUACAAAGACUUCUUCAAUUUGCACACCAUGUUAUCACAACCUACUACAAGACCUUGUGGAGGUGCCAUGUACACUUCCUCAUGCAAAUCACCAUGUAAGAAUGCAUUAUUGACAUCUAGCUGAUACAAGCUCCAAUCUUUCUUAACAGCUAAAGAGAUUAAUGUUCUAACAGUAGUCAUUUUAACUACAGGUGAGAAGGUUUCAGUGUAAUCUACCCCAACUUGUUGUGUAUAACCUUUGACCACCAACCUACACCCCAGCUUGUUGUGUAUAACCUUUGACCACCAGCCUAGCCUUGAACCUCUCCACACUCCCAUCAGCUUUGUGCUUGAUUUUGUACACCCACUUGCACCCAAUAGCUUUCUUCCCAUCAGGUAACAUGACCAUCUCCCAAGUGUCAUUAGCAUACAAAGCUUCAAACUCCUGUGUCAUGGCCUGCUGCCAGGCAGGGUGCAAUAUUGCUUCCUCAAAUGAAAUAGGCUCACAUUCAUGUGAAAUGGUUGUUACUAACUGCUGACUAUCAGAACAAAGACUGGUGAAACAUACAUGUUUAUGGGGAGAUAUAAAGGAAGUGAGGGAGUGCAGCUUAGGUAUAGUGUAGGUGUAUUCUUUUAGGUAAUUAGGAGUGUGUAUGGUUCUGGUUGUUCUUCUAGGUGCUGAUAUUGUAGGUACUGGUAAAGUAUCAUGAUGCAUGGUGGCAUUUGGAUCAGGUAAGGUAGGUUGAGUUGUAGUAGGUUGAGUUGUAGGUUCAUGUAGGACAGCAGGUGGUACUUCAUUCAUGUUGGUAUUACUGGUUACUUGAUUAUUAGUGACUUCAUGUGGUGUGAAAUUUUCCAGUUGAUCAUCAUUAGCAAAAAUGUUCAUUUUACCAGACAUACAAGGCAUGCUAGUGGUAUGAGUAAGCAUUUGCAGAAUGGAAUUGAAACUAGAACCAUCAGGGGCAAUAACAAAAGGAAAAAUAUUUUCUUGAAAAAUAACAUCUCUUGAUAUAUGAACUUUCUUGGUAGCUAAAUUCAAAACUUUGUAACCUUUUGUAUUGAAAGGGUAACCAACAAAAACAUGAGGUGUGGUUCUAGGUUCAAAUUUAUCUUUGUGAGUUUUCAAGGUAGUGGGGAAACAAAGACAACCAAAACUCUUAAGGUGGGAAUAUGUAGGUGAUUUAUGGUACAACAUUUCAUAUGGAGAUUUAUUCUGUAAAAGUUGAGUGGGCAGUCUAUUAAUCAGGUAUGUGGCAGUCAAUACACAUUCCCCCCAGUACCUCAUAGGCAACUUUGACUGAAACAAAAGUGCCCUUGCUGUUUCAAGUAGGUACUUAUGUUUCCUUUCUACCACCCCAUUUUGUUGAGGUGUAUAAGGACAAGUUCUUUGGUGUAUGAUACCUUGUUUUGGAAGAAAUUUGUGGCUUCAGCUGAAGUAAACUCUAACCCAUUGUCAGAUCUUAUGGCUUUUUAACUUGGUUUGGAAUUGGUUUUCUAUGAGAGAUAUGAAGGCUUUGAUAGUUUGGAGAGCAUUACUCUUACAUCUCAGCAAUUGUGUCCAAGUGGACCUACUGUGGUCAUCUACCAUAGUGAGGAAAUAAUGAUAUCCAUCAUGAGUGGGAACAUGAUAUGGUCCCCAUAGGUCAACAUGUAACAACUCAAACACUUUAGUGGUGGUGGUGAUACUUUCUGGAAAAGGCAUCCUAGUUUGCCUAGCCAUAGGGCAUAUAUUGCAAGUAAAAGGCUGUUUAGGAGAAAAAUGAACAGGUAUAGUUGAGAUAUUUUUCAUUUUUACAAAAGGUACAUGUCCUAAUCUAGCAUGCCACAAAAGUUCAUCAUCAUGAGUGUGAUUAGAGACAUUUGUAAAUGAAGGACAAGCAUGAGUAAAACAAGAGGAAGGAAAAACAGUACAAUCUGCCUUAUUCAUAGGAGAGUAUUUUACAGAAGAACCAGUGGACACAUUAGAAUCUGAAACCCUGCUAGUAUUGCCUAAAGAAGAGACAAGAGGACAAUUAACAUGAGGUGCUUUACUCUCAGCAGAUGGACAACAAUUGUGGCAUUUGUGACACAAGAAGUACAGGCCAUUCUUGGCUUUACCAAGUUCCAGAGGGCUCUUCAGAGAAGGGCCCUGCAGCAAACAAGAAGAUUUGUCAAAGCUGACUACACCAUUGAAUUGUAGUGCUAAACAAUGAACAGAAAUGAGAUUAAACUUGAAGCUAGGUACAAACAACACUUUGCUUAGAGUCAAAGCUGGAUUUAAACAAGCAUCACCAAUUUCAGUCACUUUAACCUUGUAACCAUUAGGGAGUGAAAUUAGAAAGGGAUAUGGAAGUGAAAUGAUGUUUGUGAGGGUGGUCUUAUCAUAGGUCAUAUGGUGUGAUGCUCCUGAAUCUAUGAUCCAAGAGCCAGCAGUCAGUUUAACACAUUUACAAGAAAGAUCACCUAUAUCAGUAAUAGAGGAAUAACAUGCAAGUAUACCUGCCAAGUUCACAGCUCCAUUCAGCAUGUUGUUUGAGUUGUCUGAGGCUCCAUUUCCAACUUGUAAAGUUCCCAGGAGAUUGAGUAGUUGUUCAUAUUGAUCUUUGGACAAGUUCAAUGGCAUUUGUCUCCUUACUUCAGGUUCCUCUUCAGAUUGAACUCCAUUCAUAUCAGGGGCACACACAUUUGCUGCAGCUUUUCCCUUUUUGAACCUUGGAUUUGGAUUGGAUGGGUAUCCAUGAAGCUUGUAACAUCUAUCCUUUGUGUGUCCUGAUUUCUUACAGUAGUCACAAAACAAAGAAGACUUGCCAGUGCUAGAAUUGCCUCUAAACCCAGUAUUACCAGAAUUGGUUCCACCUCCUCCAGAUGAACUGUAGUUUGUCCGGAAUCCCCUGUAUCCUGCACUGCUGUUGGUCUGUCCAUAAGCAUUGAGAGAGGUAGAAUCCAAGGCUGUAUGAUUAUGAGGCUUCACCUCCCUUUGUUUUUCCUCUUGGGAUAAUAUGGCAAAAGCUUGAGCCAUGCUUGGAAGUGUGUUCAUCAUGAGAAUGCUGCCUCUGACAGUCGUAUAUAUCUCAUUCAAUCCCAUUAGAAAAUGUAUCAAUCUUCUGUCUUGUUCAGCCUUGUGUAAUUUGCUUUUACCCCCACAAAUGCACACACAAGUACACUGAGAAUUGACAUCAAUGGUACUCAUUUCCUCCCACAACUUCUUCAUUCUUGUGUAAUAUCCAGUGAUGUCUAAAGUGCCUUGGACCAGAUCAUUAAUUUCCUUCUGCAGUUGAUACAAUUUACACCCAUUGGUUUGAUCGUACCUUUCUUCUAGUUCUCCCCAAAGCUCCUGAGCAUUAUUGACAUACUGCAGACUAUCACGCAAAUCUGGUGACAAGGAAUUCAGGAUCCAAGAUGUGACCAUAUCAUCACACCUUUCCCAUUGCUGAAAGCUAGGAUCAGUAGGAUCAGGUCUCACAACCUUCCCAUUAAUGAAUCCUGUCUUGCUCUUAACAGAUAAAGCCCUGAGAACUGCUCUUCUCCAGGAUCUGUAACCAGUUCCAUCAAAAACUGCAGGUAAUAGGGAUGAACUUGCAUUCUCAGAUGGAUGCAAGUAGAAAGGACUAGGGAUUUCUACCCUAACAGUGGAUGCAGAAGCAUUUGGAAUGGAAUCAUUUGAAGAAUCGACCAUUGUGAAUUGAAAAUUGGGAAGAAGAUCAAGUCGAGAACAACCAGAUCAAACAGCGUUCACAAACAAAAUUGACAGAUCGAAGAUCCAGUCGAGAUCAACCAGAUCAAAGAAAAAAUUCACAUAAGAGAAAACGAAGCUCACAGAUUGAAUUGGAAACAAAAAAAAACAGGAGCAAUUCCCUGUGCUUUGAUACCAUGAUGAAAUCAGCUACUGAUCAGUCAAGCUCCUCCAUUGAUGUAGCUUCAACUCACAUGAGAAAAGAUGAGAGAAGAAGAGAGAAGAGAAGAGAAGAAGAAUCUAGAAGAGCAACAUGAAAAUUAUCUCUCAUUGAAUGUGAAUUAAAGAAGUGAGUAUUACAAUGUAUCUGUAUAUAUACACAAUCACUAAGCAACUAAUAAUCAUUGGCAGAAAUUAACUAACUAACAAACUUGAUUCUAACUAACUCUACUGUACAUAACCGACUCUACUGUACAUAACUAACUAAUUAUACUUUAUAUUCUCAUCAAUAUCCCUUUUUUCAAAUUUCAUAGCUGAACUACUAGGUGUGCGAGUUCCUACCAGAACUAUUACCAACUAUUUAUCAAAACACACAUCAACUAUAUAUGAGUUGUUCCCUUUUACUAGUGGUGAAAAAUAGGUGGAUUUGGACGGGACUGAAAAUGGAUUGAGCAACAUGGUCGUAACUCACUUUAAUCUCUUAAAGCCAGAAAACUUUAAAGAGUUAAUUGAAAUAAACUUAAUGACUAUCCUACUUGAAGUAUCACCAUCGUUCAGGUAAGAAAAAGGAAGUAAAUCAAGGAAGACGAUGUCUUACAAAGCCUGAUGGAUAUGGACCUCGAUAGAACCUCCAUAGUUGUCUUGAAUGUCCUGUUGAAUCUGCUUUGCGGAAUUCCCAACAGAUUCUGGGCAGUUUCUUAUAUCAAUUAGAGCAAGUGUGGUUAUAUCUGCAAAAUCUUGAGGGAUUGAGUCCAAAAACCUGCAACUAUCAAGAAAUAGUCGUUCAAGGCACGGAAAGUGAUCACAACUAGCUCUCCAGUACUGAAUAUGUGAUCUUUUAAGUAACAAGAACUUCAAAAAAGGAAACCCUUCCUCAGCUACUUCCCACUCCCUGCCUCUGCAUACACCCUGUGUUAGUUCAAGAAGUUCAAGUUUGGGCAAUUUUCCGACAACAAUGCUUAAAUCCUUCCAUGACAAGAAGAAAUUUCCUGUAAAAGUUAAAUUCUUAAGGUUUCGUGGAAAAGCAUCUGGAGGAGGUAAGAUCAAAGAUGGAACAACUUCUACAACAAGUGGAUUCCUUGUCUGAAAACACAUUCUCCUCUCCAAAAAGUAAGCAUUAUUUUGAGGAGGAAGACAAAAUGCUAGUUCCUCGAGAUGAUCUAAGUAGCGAAAAUCAUAGAGGUCUUUGUGACUAUGGAAGUCUUGUGGGAUGCCACGUACUUGCAACUCCUUUAAAUUGGGAAAUAGUCUAAAGAAAGAUGCAGUACAAUAGCUAGGAUUCCAUCCAAACAGAGAAUGUAAAUUUUUCAUAACCAAACUUUUCUCUGUAAGCUCAUGAUAUCGCAAGUAAUUCCGAUCCAAAUGAAGGUGCCUCAACUGUGGCAUAGUCAAAAUUUCUGAUGGUAAUAUCAAAGCAUGUUUACGAAGAUUAAUAACGAGUGGAAGGUAAAGUACCAAACUUUGCAGAUAGCAUAGGUUUGAUAUGGAUGUAGGAAUGUCUACUCUUGAUGAGAGAACAUCUUCUUCGGAUCCUAGAUAUUGCUCAACGUUAGGAUAAAUACGCAAAGCUAGGUGUCUUAAGUGAAUCAAAUAAAGUAUUUCACGGGGAAAAGUUAGACAGAUAUUAUCAGCAAGAUCUAGAACUCUUACUAGCUUGAACGGCAAGUACUCCCUCAUGCAACAUCGGAAUCUACCAAAUAAGAUAACAGAAUGAGCUUCACUGUUAAGGCACCUAACAUACUCUUUCUUAUUAUGGAUGCUGAUUCGACCUCGACUCUUAGACAAACACUGCAUAGAUUUCACACAUGGAUUUUGAUCAUUCUUACUUCCGAGAACAUUCACAAAAUUCAUGUUACGAGCUUCCAUCAUACAGAGUUCACGAGUCGUAUCAUGAAUUCCACAACACUUAAUUUUUCCAUCAAAAGUAGUACUUUCUAUGGAAAUUAAACUUCUAUCAAUAAGAUCUUGUAGGUACUUUUCUGCCACUUCUUCUAUGCUUUUCAUCUCUUCUACCUUCAAAAAUCCCUCUGUUUCCCACAAUAUCAUAAGUUUAUUGACAAAAAUCAGUUUAUCCUCUGGGAAGAUUGCGAAAUAUAAAAAGCAUGGUUUUAGGUGGUGAGGCAAGUAAUGGUAACUCAUUGCCAACACCCUCAUGCAUUGGACACCAACAUCUGUGCUUACUGCUGAACUUACAUUUUCAGCAACACUUUGCCACUCACUCAAUGCUUUGUCAAUUUUAGUGAGAAGUCCCGCGAUCACAACAAUUGCUAGAGGCAAUCCUCCGCAUUUCAAUGCAAUUUGCUUUCCAAGUUGUUCAUAUUCAGGGGAGAAAGAGUCUUUCGUAAAGACUUUUUCAUACAAUAAACUCCAACUUUCGUCAAAAUUCAUGAGGCGCAUGUGAUAAGGAGGCUUACCUGAGCUAGCAUAUUCAGCCACUUCCACAUUCCGAGUAGUCAAGAGUAUUCGGCUUCCAUUAUGAAAGUCUGGGAAACAUAUUUGUAUAUCAUCCCAAGCUUUUGUAGUCCAUAUGUCAUCAAUGACUACCAAAUAUCUCUCACCUUUUAGAAGCUUUUGUAGUCGAUCUGCUAGUUGCCCGUCAUGUAGCUGAUCAUAAGGUUUAUCACUUAUACAAGAAAGAAGGUCUAGGAAAACAUUUCUCACACAAUACUCUUGUGAAACAGUAGCUUUAGCACGAAUGUCAAAACGAUACAUCAUGCAUGGAUCGUUGUAGAGUUUCGUAGCCAAAGUUGUCUUGCCAAUGCCUCCCAUACCUACAAUUGAUACAACUGCUAGUUCUCUUUCUCCUCUAGCAAGUUGAUCCAGCAUCAUCUUGAAUUCAUUUUCAUAGCCAACCAUUAUAUCCUCGGACCGCUCAACAGCACGUUCAGGUAUCUUGGAUAGACAAAAAUUUUGUGCUUUGAAAUCUUUAAAGUUGUUGUACCAGUCCCAUAUUGCCAACCACUGCAUCAUGAAGGAAUCAAUGCAUUCUACCUCUUGUUCCAAGGAACAACAGAGUUCCCAGAAAGCUUUGC